GUCCUUUUGUUAUUUAUUUAAGGUCUAACCUGCUCUAUGAUUUAAUUUUAAUGGCCGCGGUAAUUUAACCGUGCAAAGGUAGCAUAAUCAUUUGUCUUUUAAUUAAAGGCUUGUAUGAAUGGUUGGACGAGAAGUAUUCUUUCUUUAUUUAAAAGAUAAAAAUUUAAUUUUUUAGUUAAAAAGCUAAAAUUUUUUUAAGGGACGAGAAGACCCUAUAGAACUUUAUUUAUAGUUUAAUAUUUUAUUUGUUGUAUAUAAUUAUAUUAUAUUAAAUUAUAAUUUUUGUUGGGGUGACAUGGAAAUUAUUUUAACUUUCUUUAAUUUAUUUCAUAAAUUAAUGUUUUUAUUGAUCCAAUUUUUUUGAUUAAAAGAUUAAGUUACCUUAGGGAUAACAGCGUAAUUUUUUUGGAGAGUUCUUAUCAAUAAAAAAGUUUGCGA
rnacentral:rRNA from 1 species